CCUACGGGAGGCUGCAGUGAGGAAUAUUGGUCAAUGGGCGAAAGCCUGAACCAGCCAAGUCGCGUGAAGGAUGACGGCCCUACGGGUUGUAAACUUCUUUUGUCAGGGAGCAAUUGGGUCCACGCUUGGUCUUAGCGACAGUACCUGAAGAAAACGCAUCGGCUAACUCCGUGCCAGCAGCCGCGGUAAUACGGAGGAUGAGAGGGUUAUCGGGAUUUAUUGGGUUUAAAGGGUGCGUAGUCGGAAUAUAAAGUCAGCGGUAAAAAUUCGGGGCUCAACCCCGUCGUGCCGUUGAAACUGGUGUUCUUGAGUGCGCGAGAAGUAUGCGGAAUGCGUGGUGUAGCGGUGAAAUGCAUAGAUAUCACGCAGAACUCCGAUUGCGAAGGCAGCAUACCGGCGCCCAACUGACGCUGAAGCACGAAAGCGUGGGUAUCGAACAGGAUUAGAUACCCGAGUAGUC
rnacentral:rRNA from 1 species